UUGAGAUGUAAAACUUGAUUAUUAGAUAAUUUACUUGAGUAUUACGAGUUGUAAAAAUAUUGACUUACACAAGAAUCUUAAAACUCAAAAGACUUGGCGGUAUCUUAGGUCCUUCUAGGGGAACCUGUCCUGUAAUCGAUAGUCCACGAUUUAUCUUUCCUUUCCUUGAAAAUAUUCAGCUUGUAUACCGUCGUCGUCAGAUUACCUUUAAGAGUUAAAUAAGUUAUCAGAAGGAAUGUUACUAUUUAGUGUUUGCUUUACUUUAUUAGUUAAAGUUAAUGUAAGAGUAAUUUUCUAGAUGUCAGAUCAAGGUGCAGCCCAUGGAAAGGUAGAGAUGGGUUACAAUAAUUAUUUAUUAUUUACGGAUUUCUUAUUGAAAUUAUAAGAACUAAAGGCGGACUUAGAAGUAAUUAAUAAGAGAAGUAGAAAGUUUCGGUGAAAAUGGCACUAAGAUGUG
rnacentral:rRNA from 1 species